CAGAGCUUCUCAUGCGCACGUUCUGUGAAAUUUACGUACUGACUGAUCAAAAGGAGAAUUCAGUCAGGAGGGUCACGGAUACUUCUUCUGGGGAUUUUCUCUCUCAUUCCAAGAAUCCAGAGUUUAUGAUAUGAACACAAUGAAACAUUAACCUUCCAUCUAUCUGUUGGACCAUUCGUUAUCUAAACUCCACAGAUGCUCACGCAGCAGCACAGUGUGAAUAGGAGCCUGGAUGCACAGAUCAUGACCCUACUGCAUGACAAGCCGUCAUUUGCACUGAAGCUGCCAAAAAAUGUUUUACCCUCAUGGAGAGAGCUGUGAUUUCCAUGUGAAGAAAUAAAUUGCAGUCUGAUGAAGUGGGAACCGAUGAACUGUUUGCCUGCUCCUCC